rfam:Oryza sativa (indica cultivar-group) chromosome 1, whole genome shotgun sequence.
AAAAAGACAAACCCUGGGAUUCCGCGUCCUACGUUUGACUGUCCGUCUUAUAUGAAAUUUUUUUAUAAUUAGUAUUUUCAUUGUUGUUAGAUGAUAAAACAUGAUUAAUAAUUUAUGCGUGACUUGUAUUUUUUAAUUAUUUUUAUAUUUUUUUAAAUAAGACGGACGGUUAAACGUUGGACACGGAAACCCAGGGUUUGUCUUUUU